rnacentral:rRNA from 1 species
GACGAACGCUGGCGGCGUGCCUAAUACAUGCAAGUAGAACGCUGAAGGAGGAGCUUGCUUCUCUGGAUGAGUUGCGAACGGGUGAGUAACGCGUAGGUAACCUGCCUGGUAGCGGGGGAUAACUAUUGGAAACGAUAGCUAAUACCGCAUAAGAGUAGAUGUCGCAUGACAUUUGCUUAAAAGGUGCAAUUGCAUCACUACCAGAUGGACCUGCGUUGUAUUAGCUAGUUGGUGAGGUAACGGCUCACCAAGGCAACGAUACAUAGCCGACCUGAGAGGGUGAUCGGCCACACUGGGACGGAGACACGGCCCAGACUUCUACGGGAGGCAGCAGUAGGGAAUCUUCGGCAAUGGACGGAAGUCUGACCGAGCAACGCCGCGUGAGUGAAGAAGGUUUUCGGAUCGUAAAGCUCGGUUGUAAGAGGAGAACGAGUGUGAGAGUGGAAAGUUCACACUGUGACGGUAUCUUACCAGAAAGGGACGGCUAACUACGUG